GAUGAACGCUAGCUACAGGCUUAACACAUGCAAGUCGAGGGGAAACGACAUCGAAAGCUUGCUUUUGAUGGGCGUCGACCGGCGCACGGGUGAGUAACGCGUAUCCAACCUGCCCAUCACUUGGGAAUAACCUUGCGAAAGUAAGACUAAUACCCAAUGACAUCCCACGAAGACAUCUGAAUGGGAUUAAAGAUUUAUCGGUGAUGGAUGGGGAUGCGUCUGAUUAGCUUGUUGGCGGGGUAACGGCCCACCAAGGCAACGAUCAGUAGGGGUUCUGAGAGGAAGGUCCCACACAUUGGAACUGAGACACGGUCCAAACUCCGACGGGAGGCAGCAGUGAGGAAUAUUGGUCAAUGGGCGAGAGCCUGAACCAGCCAAGUAGCGUGCAGGAUGACGGCCCUAUGGGUUGUAAACUGCUUUUAUAAGGGAAUAAAGUGGGUCUCGUGAGACUUUUUGCAUGUACCUUAUGAAUAAGGACCGGCUAAUUCCGU
rnacentral:rRNA from 1 species